rnacentral:rRNA from 1 species
AGCGAACGCUGGCGGCGUGGCUUAGGCAUGCAAGUCGAGCGCGAAAGCAGACUUCGGUCUGUGAGUAAAGCGGCGAAAGGGUGAGUAACGCAUAGGCAACCUACCCUCGACAUCGGUAUAACCUCUGGAAACGGAGGGUAAUCCCGGAUGGUCCCGCGAGAGGGAAUCCUCACGUGGGUAAAGGUUGGGAUCUCCGGACCUUCCGGUCGAGGAGGGGCCUAUGCCCCCUCAGCUUGUUGGUGAGGUAAUGGCUCACCAAGGCGAUAACGGGUAGCCGGACUGAGAGGUUGACCGGUCACACUGGGACUGAGACACUGCCCAGACUCCUACGGGAGGCUGCAGUCGAGAAUCUUCCGCAAUGGGCGAAAGCCUGACGGAGCGACGCCGCGUGAGGGAUGAGGGCCUUCGGGUUGUAAACCUCUGACACGGGUUAUGAAUGGCAAGGCGUUAAUAGCGUCUUGUUUGACAAAGGCCCGAGAGGAAGCCACGGCUAACUCCGUGCCAGCAGCCGCGGUAAUACGGAGGUGGCAAGCGUUGCUCGGAAUCACUGGGCAUAAAGGGCGUCUAGGCGGAUCGGACAGUCGGCUGUGAAAUCCCUCGGCUUAACCGGGGAACGGCAACCGAUACUG